rnacentral:lncRNA from 1 species
UACAUUGUUAGGUGCUUGCCCCUUUGCAUGUUGUGGUUUUGUACCUUGCAUGCGUUUAUAUAUGUUGUGCUUCCAACUUGCUUAUCUUGAGUAAUCGAGUAUGUGUAUGUUGGUUUGCAUAUCAUGUACAUGUGAGUCUUGUAUUGAGCCUUUUUGCAUCUUGUUCGUAUUUUUGUUGGCCCUUGUGAGAGAUUAAUGGAUUAUCCCAUUGUGGGGGAGUGAUGUGCUUUGCACACCUCACAAUCCUAUAAAUGUGUAUACAUGGGGAAUACAACUUAGUUUUGAUAUUUCAAGAUUAUCUAGUUUCUAUGUGGUAUGUCUUACUCAUGAGAAAUUCAAAUUCUAUAUGGUCCAUUAAGUAUCUCUUGUUGGUUUUAAUUUACCACUUGUUAAUAUUGUUGGUUUAUCACAUUAUGGGGGAG